UACGAAGGGGGCUAGCGUUGUUCGGAUUUACUGGGCGUAAAGCGCGUGUAGGCGGGCUGGAAAGUUGGGGGUGAAAUCCCGAGGCUCAACCUCGGAACUGCCUCCAAAACUUCCAGCCUGGAGCAAGAUAGAGGCAAGUGGAAUUGCGAGUGUAGAGGUGAAAUUCGUAGAUAUUCGCAGGAACACCAGUGGCGAAGGCGACUUUCUGGGCUGUAACUGACGCUGAGGAGCGAAAGCCAGGGGAGCAAACGGG
rnacentral:rRNA from 1 species